rnacentral:rRNA from 1 species
AGCGAACGCUGGCGGCAGGCCUAACACAUGUAAGUCGAACGAAGUCUUCGGACUUAGUGGCGGACGGGUGAGUAACACGUGGGAACGUGCCUUUAGGUUCGGAAUAACUCAGGGAAAUUUGUGCUAAUACCGUAUGUGCCCUUCGGGGGAAAGAUUUAUCGCCUUUAGAGCGGCCCGCGUCUGAUUCGCUAGUUGGUGUGGUAACGGCUCACCAAGGCUACGAUCAGUAGCUGGUCUGAGAGGAUGACCAGCCACAUUGGGACUGAGACACGGCACAAACUCCUACGGGAGGCAGCAGUGGGGAAUCUUGCGCAAUAGGAGAAAGCCUGACGCAGCCAUGCCGCGUGGAUGAUGAAGGUCUUAGGAUUGUAAAAUCCUUUCACCGGUGAAGAUAAUGACUGUAGCCGGAGAAGAAGCCCCGGCUAACUUCGUGCCAGCCGCCGCCGUAAGAC